CAAGAAGUAAUUUAAUUAGAAUAUCAGCUUUGGGUGCUGAUGGUGGGGGUUAGACCUUCCUUUCUUGG
rnacentral:tRNA from 1 species